GGAAGAGGAAUGGGGACAGAGGCAUG
rnacentral:piRNA from 1 species